GGCAGCACUGCUGUGCUAUUCUGUGAUUUCACAGGCAUUAUAGCAAUGGAAGCGCUGUCACCUAGACAAAAUUUUUCCCAGUGAUGCUUUGGAAGGCAAAGAAAAUGAUGGGCUUCUUCUGAUAGAUGAUAUAACUGGAGGCGGAGGUGGAAAUAUACUGGAAAACCAUUUUCGUCAUCAAGGAAAGCUUAACUGUACCAGAGCAAUCCCAAAGUGAUGUGAACCAAUGCUACCUACCAGCAAUACUAAAAUCAGAGCCUGGGGACCUGUAUUGUGAACAAGAUCGGUAUUGGGUUUAGAAGCAGGUAAUAAAUAAGCAGUGAAAUGGACAGAUUAACAACAUAUUUUGAAAGUUCUAGACAACUUUUUUCCUCAACCAUCAGAAAUACCACCUAUAAACGUGUAGAUAUAUUUAAAAAGAGACUUCUUAAGCUAUACUGUCUUCAGCUUUUGCAUACUUUAUAAGAAUUUGACAAAACCUAAUAAAAGUAUGUAUUCCUUCUAAGGAAUUGCAACUGAAUUCUACAGUUCAUAGAUCCAAAAUAAGCAGUUUGUGUAACCUUACUUUAAGUUCAUUAACAACAGAAGAAUGUCGCCUUGGGGAAUUUGUCUUGUUACACGUUCCUAGAGAUAUACACAGAGCUCAGACGAAGAGACAGUCCAUAACCCAUGCUCUGUCCUUGAACCAGCAUUUCCAUCAAUAUUUUACUACUCAUUUCUAAAACAAUCAGAUAACUUUCCCUUUGAAUUGGGACUUCAAAGCACUCAAAGUUUUGGAUCUAAAAAAGUUUUCUGAUUACACACUUAAUCUAAUAAUAAGUAGUGUACAAGACUAUUUUAAAAGUAUUUUCCUACAAAGGAUGACAAUUUCUUUGGAAUCUUUCUUGUUCCAAGCAAUCCUGGGAUCAUCAUUAAAUACUGGCAGCUUAAAGAUUAUCUCUGUAUAUUUACCAAAUCUUACUCCAGCUCUGACAAGAUAAGAUAAAAGAAUAGUGUUACUUGCCAGGGUCAAGAGUUAUAGCAGUCUAAAAUGCAGAGCACUUUUCUCGAUAACAGAAUUUUUUUAGAAUAGGAUUUUGAGGGAGUUUUUUGUUUGUUUGUUUGCUGUAGAUUUGGCUUUUUGGAUCAGUUUUGUUUUUGGUUUGUUUGGUUUUUCUUUCUAAAGUAGGAUAAGAAGUCAUAAAACAACAGAAGUAAAUGGAAAAGAACAGCAUUUUCUAAAGCGAUAGCUGAAGUAGUCCAGUAGCUAUAUAAAGUAAAGGAAUACUAUAAAAUGCAUGGGAGGGAAAAAAAACAAACCACCACUCUCUAAUUUUUGUACAAGAGUCAAUGCAAAUCAUAAGUUACUACUACAUGCAUUGUGAUUGAUGUAAUUUGAUUUCAGAGCCAACAUUUUCUUUGUACAACUCUGCUUUUUCUUCCCUCUGGUUAUGAUUUUUAGCACACCUGAUCAACUGAGUUUCUCCCAUGAGGAGAUAUUUUUUUUUGCUCAUGGCAAACUGAUGACCAACCCUGUUGCUGCCUGGCCCACUGUUGUAAGGAAACGUAGCAACAACACUCCUUUUUCCCUCACAAAAUUAAGUAGGCUAUAACACUCGAAGAACACUUUAAAGAGAAAAAGCCAGCAGCUCUUGGCCUGAACCUGACUAAAACAAAUUUCAGGCCACAUUUGAAAAGGAGAAACUAGAUUAUAAUGUAUAAAAAUACCUGCAAUAAUGAAGUCUAUGUGUUCUUUCACACUUCUUUCAGUCUUUGACUUACUUUCCCUUCCACUUCUGUAAACAAAAUGUCAAUCUUCUAACAUAUUUUUCUUGAUCUGCAGCAUUAUCGUUUUUGUGGGUGCUGCUCCUUCAGCCUCUAAAUAAUUUAUUUUUCAUUUUCAUGUCCUUCCUCUCUGUCUUUCCUGUUGCUGAGAUGUUCUCUGUUCACCAUCCUUCUUCUUGCUAGAUCUCAGUUCUAUAAGCUAUUUCUCUCCUUAGCAAUUUCUUGAUAGCCCUUUUGAUGACCUUUUUUCACCAACAAGAAGCAUCUGAACUGCUGCAUCAGUGCUACAGCAGUCUGGAAGUCAAAAAUGUUUAAAAGGUGUGUUAGAAAUUCUUAUGUCACAGACUAUUUUAUUAUUUAUACUUUUAACUUUUGUAUUUGAAUGGGACUUUUCACAGGGAUUUUGAAAGAAAGCAGAUUUUGAAAGGUGGAAGCAGAGGGACAUAAACAUCAUGAAAGUGCUGGAGACGGUUUGCAAACAGCAAUCUCAAAACAAGGAAAACCUAAACCAGUACAUUGCUUUUAUCUCCAGACAGUUUUCACUGCCAGCUGUCCUCAGAAGGCCAAGAAGUGGCUUGUAACUCAGUCAGAUCAUGAAGAUCCACCACCAUUGCUCCCAUCAGAACAAGAGCAGAGCUAAGCCUUCCUUUGCCUUCAAGUAGGGAGUAGAAAGGACACUGAGGGUUUAGACAUAUUUCAAAAAGUUGCCCUAACAGUGCCAUGGAGAGAGAGAUGAGCUAAUGCAUUACCUCUGUUCUAAUUUACUUUUUCAGUAUAUAUGCUAGUUAUUUACUUCUGCAUAUGUCCCUUACAGAAUAUGAUAAGGAGGACAUAAACCAGGUGAUGAGGCACACUGUAAAUUGUGAACUACGACUGUGAAAGCCUGUAGAGACAAACCCUGGGAAUCAGUGUUGAUAUAAGCAUAGGAAAGAGAAAAGAAAGCCCAAAAAUUAAUAAAUUUAGUCAAGGAUAUUUACAGAUUACUAAUGUUUUAUAACACUUGAAUAGAGAACUCGAUAUGCUAUUUGCUUUCACAGACCUGUCAUAAAAACAAUGAAGAAAGAAAAAUAAAACAACUUUCCUUGGAAAAUUAAUAAUUAAGGUAAGAAGAUAUAAUCUAAGUUAUAGGGAAUACAUCUGCUCUCUCAGAUGAUAAUAUGAUAAAUCUUGACAAGAUGUUUAAAUUUGCACGAGUUCUCAUAUAUUCACAGAAAAAUUGAGAUAUAGGAAUUAGUAUACCUUGCCAAGGAAAGGCUCGUGAAUAAAAGCAAAACAGCAAAGUGGAUCAGAAAGAACUACUAGGUGUCACUAAAAUGCCUGAGGAGACUUAUUCUAAAGGAAGUCAUAAAAAUCAGAUGACUUGGUCUGAGAGAAGAAUUUGCUGAAGAAUCAGAAAACAUUAGAAAGCUGUGAACAAUCCAGUCACCUAGCUGACCUUG